GUCCACGCUGUAAACGAUGACGACUAGGUGUGGGGGGGUUCAGUCCCUUCCGUGCCGCAGCUAACGCAUUAAGUCGUCCGCCUGGGGAGUACGGCCGCAAGGUUGAAACUCAAAGGAAUUGACGGGGGCCCGCACAAGCGGUGGAGCAUGUGGUUCAAUUCGAUGCAGAGCGAAGAACCUUACCUGGGUUUGACAUGUAGGAAGUAGAAACCGGAAACGGGGACGACCUGUUAAGUCAGGAGCCUACACAGGUGGUGCAUGGCUGUCGU
rnacentral:rRNA from 1 species